rnacentral:tRNA from 1 species
UCCUGGUGGCUUAGACGGUAAAGCAUCUGCCUGCAAUGCGGAAGACCUGGUUUCGAUCCUCGGGUCAGGAA